rnacentral:rRNA from 1 species
UACGAAGGGGCUAGCGUUAAUCGGAAUUACUGGGCGUAAAGCGCACGGUAGGCGGCUUGGUAUGUCGGGUGUGAAAUCCCGGGCUUAACCUGGGAACUGCAUUUGUGACUGGCGAGCUAGAGUAGUGGCAGAGGGGGGUAGAAGUUCCACGUGAUGAGCAGUGAAAUGCGUAGAGAUGUGGAGGAAUGACCGAUGGCGAAGGCAGCCCCUGGGCCAAU